rfam:Paxillus rubicundulus Ve08.2h10 scaffold_2500_c1, whole genome shotgun sequence.
GACCACAUAGCUCAGUGGUUAGAGCACCUGGUAUAAACCUAGGAGGUCACUGGUUCAAUCCCAGCGAUGGUUU